AUGCUCGCUUCGGCAGCAUAUAUCCUAAAAUUGGAACGAUACAGAGAAGAUUAGCAUGGCCCCUGCACAAAGAUGAUACACAAAUUCAUGAAGCGGUCCAUACUUAA